UGGGGAAUAUUGGACAAUGGGCGAAAGCCUGAUCCAGCCAUGCCGCGUGUGUGAAGAAGGUCUUCGGAUUGUAAAGCACUUUAAGUUGGGAGGAAGGGCAUUAACCUAAUACGUUAGUGUUUUGACGUUACCGACAGAAUAAGCACCGGCUAACUCUGUGCCAGCAGCCGCGGUAAUACAGAGGGUGCAAGCGUUAAUCGGAAUUACUGGGCGUAAAGCGCGCGUAGGUGGUUUGUUAAGUUGGAUGUGAAAUCCCCGGGCUCAACCUGGGAACUGCAUUCAAAACUGACUGACUAGAGUAUGGUAGAGGGUGGUGGAAUUUCCUGUGUAGCGGUGAAAUGCGUAGAUAUAGGAAGGAACACCAGUGGCGAAGGCGACCACCUGGACUAAUACUGACACUGAGGUGCGAAAGCAUGGGGAGCGAACA
rnacentral:rRNA from 1 species